AGAGUUUGAUCCUGGCUCAGAUUGAACGCUGGCGGCGUGCCUAACACAUGCAAGUCGAGCGGUAACAGGUGUAGCAAUACAUGCUGACGAGCGGCGAACGGGUGAGUAAUGCUUCGGAAUCUGCCCAAUGGUGGGGAAUAACCAGCCGAAAGGUUGGCUAAUACCGCAUAAGCCCUACGGGGGAAAGCAGGGGAUCGCAAGACCUUGCGCCGAUGGAUGAGCCGAAGUCGGAUUAGCUAGUUGGUAGGGUAACGGCCUACCAAGGCGACGAUCCGUAGCUGGUCUGAGAGGACGACCAGCCACACUGGGACUGAGACACGGCCCAGACUCCUACGGGAGGCAGCAGUGGGGAAUAUUGGACAAUGGGGGCAACCCUGAUCCAGCGACGCCGCGUGUGUGAAGAAGGCCUGCGGGUUGUAAAGCACUUUUAGUGGGGAUGAAAAGCUCAGGGCUAAUACCUCUGGGUCUUGACCUAACCCAAAGAAAAAGCACCGGCUAACUCUGUGCCAGCAGCCGCGGUAAUACAGAGGGUGCGAGCGUUAAUCGGAAUUACUGGGCGUAAAGCGUGCGUAGACGGUUACAUAAGUCGGGUGUGAAAGCCCCGGGCUCAACCUGGGAAUUGCAUUCGAGACGGCGUAGCUAGGGUGCGGAAGAGGGAAGCGGAAUUUCAGGUGUAGCGGUGAAAUGCCGUAGAUAUCUGAAGGAACACCAGUGGCGAAAGCGGCU
rnacentral:rRNA from 1 species